GGAAGACAUGGGGAAUGCGAACGCCAGAGAAGACGGCGCCGCCGGAGACGGCGACGGCGACGGUCAGGUAUCGGGAAGAAGAUCUAAUGUUGAAUCUGGAAUAGUAGAAGAUCACCACGCUCUGAACUCGCGAGUGCCUUCGGCUGACUUGAUGGUCAAUUCUCCUCCGCAGAGUCCACAUCGUUCAGCUUCACCUCUCUUGUUCGGACCUCAGGUGCCAGUAGUUCCUUUACAAGGAGGGGAUGGCAAUCCUGUUAGCAAUCAAAUGUGGGGCAAUGAAUGCGAGGAUGCCUCUGAUCAUUCACUAGAGGGCGGCAUACCUACUUUGAUAACAUGGAGUUAUGGUGGUAAUAACGUUGCUAUCCAAGGAUCUUGGGACAACUGGACAUCAAGGAAAAUUCUCCAAAGAUCAGGCAAGGACUAUACCGUUCUUUUGGUCCUUCCAUCGGGUAUAUAUCAUUACAAAUUCAUUGUGGAUGGGGAAGUUAGAUAUAUUCCAGAACUUCCAUGUGUAGCAGAUGAGACAGGCGUUGUCUUUAAUCUUCUUGAUGUUAAUGACAAUGUUCCAGAGAACCUCGAAAGUGUUGCAGAGUUUGAGGCCCCACCAUCACCUGACUCUAGCUAUGCGCAAGCUUUGAUGGGAGAGGAGGAUUUUGAAAAGGAGCCAGUGGCAGUUCCACCGCAACUUCAUCUAACUGUUCUUGGUUCUGAAAACUCAGAAGAAGCACCUUCUUCUCCAAAACCCCAGCACGUAGUACUUAAUCACCUCUUUAUAGAGAAAGGAUGGGCUUCUCAAUCCGUUGUUGCUCUUGGUUUAACGCAUAGAUUCCAGUCCAAAUAUGUCACAGUUGUUCUCUACAAGCCACUGAAGAGGUGACCACUCCGUGUUUACAAUCAAAUCUUUCUAGAGCUUUCUCAGUGUGGCUGCUUUAAGAUUUCCACUGUUUAUAGACCUGCUCAAUGUUCAAACUUCCUUUAACCUCUCCUCUGUUGUACAAUAGAGCAAUGCAUUUUCUC
rnacentral:misc_RNA from 1 species